rnacentral:rRNA from 1 species
CGUUCUUACAGUAACCCAGCGCAGCCACCUCACAACCACCUGCCCGCCAGAAGACUACAAGUGAUAAACUUGAAACUCAAAAGACUUGACGGUGCCCCAUAUCACCCUAGAGGAGCCUGUCCUAUAAUCGAUGACCCCCGUUUUACCUCACCUGCCCUAGAACACAACCUUCAGCCUAUAUACCGCCAUCUUCAGCAAACAA